AACGAACGCUGGCGGCAGGCUUAACACAUGCAAGUCGAGCGCCCCGCAAGGGGAGCGGCAGACGGGUGAGUAACGCGUGGGAAUCUACCCAUCUCUACGGAAUAACGCAUGGAAACGUGUGCUAAUACCGUAUACGCCCUUCGGGGGAAAGAUUUAUCGGGGAUGGAUGAGCCCGCGUUGGAUUAGCUAGUUGGUGGGGUAAAGGCCUACCAAGGCGACGAUCCAUAGCUGGUCUGAGAGGAUGAUCAGCCACAUUGGGACUGGGACACGGCCCAAACUCCUACGGGAGGAAGCAGUGGGGAAUAUUGGACAAUGGGCGCAAGCCUGAUCCAGCCAUGCCGCGUGAGUGAUGAAGGCCUUAGGGUUGUAAAGCUCUUUCGUCCGGGACGAUAAUGACGGUACCGGAAGAAGAAGCCCCGGCUAACUUCGUGCCAGCCGCCGCCGUAAUAC
rnacentral:rRNA from 1 species